AAACAAUAUAAAAGAAGUACUUCGAAUCAAGAGGAUAUUUAUACAUUUGGUUGCUAUCUAAGUUUUCCUGAAUUCAAUUAAGCAAAAAAACCUAAAAGGUUUCUAUAACGAUGCCAUUUUGGAAGACAAAACAAACUUCUCCACCUUUAAAAGGGAAUCGUACAACAACUCGUAUAACAUUUGUCAAUGAGCGCAAUAAUUCUUCAAUUCCCAAUGGCAGUUGCAAGAUUGUAAUUGACCACAAUGACGAAUCAAUUGAAAUAGUAAGAGUACAUCAACAAAAGAAAAAGCUGCCAGGAAUUAUUGAAGUUCUUAAGAUUAUAGAAUAUAUGUAUUCUAUUAUCCUAGCCUCAAUAAAACGUCCGGAUUUUUGGAGGAAGCUUUUACCCGUCUUCCUAUUUUGCUUUUUGAACUUGUUAAACCGAUUUUGAAUAUAAUUUUUAUUUGUAUUUGAGAGCUGGUGCUUUCAGUGUGGUCACAUAUGUGACAAUGGCAUCCAUGAGAAAAAUAUAAUAUAACUUUUGAUCCUUAGAA